ensembl:lncRNA
AUAUAUAUAUAUAUAUAUAUAUAUAUUUAUAUAUAUAUAUAUUAUUUCAGUCAACGUUUAUUUUAUUUCAAGUACAGAAAAUGUUUUUGGCAGUUUUAGUUAUAGUUAACUAUAACAAGUAGCUAGUGUUAUGAUGUAAUGCAUAAUACUUGAAACAUUGCAAUAAAUUAAACAUGUUACAGUACCUUUCAGAAUUUUAAGUUAUUUACAACAACAUUUUUUUCAGGAAUUCAAGUUCUUCUUAAAUAUUGCUAUAAAAACAAAAGAUUCUUAUGAACAUCGGGAAAUGGUUUUGGUAAAACUAGAUAUUCGUAACAUUAUUCUUACGUUUGAAAAUAAGAAGAAAAUGACAGUUUCGUGAAUCCGGCCCUGGGUUUUCAGUGUUUGUUUAUGUAAUAGUAUCUGUGUUUGUGAAGUGUGCAGUCCAGAGAGUCAAUUAUUCACAUGACUCAGUGAUUCAGUCAGUAAUGGAUUCACAUGACUCAGUGAUUCAGUCAAUGAUGGAUUUGCAUGAUUUGUUGAUUCAUUCGAUGUAGAUUCACAUGAUUCAGUGAUUCAAUCAAUGUUAGAUUCAAAUGAUCCAGUGAUUCACUCAUUUCUGUGUUGGUGUUUAGAUGUGUCUUAUGUCUCUCCUGGUGUUUGAUUCUCAUUCGUUAGUGAACAGAAUCAAUAUAAUCGAUGUGAUACGCCAAUGGUGUCAAUGACGAAACUUUUUCUCCAUGUGAUGUUUGUAGAAAAAACACUGAUAUUUCAUGUUUAGAACAUCUAAAUUGUAAGAUUUUCACAGUUCACAAUGAUGCCAGCACAGAGAUGUAUAAAGUUUUGUGAAUUUGCAUUAUCAUUUUGUGAUCAUACACUGUGUUGAAGGCCUGUGAGAAUCGCCGUCACUAAUCACACUAAUGAAACGAAUGACUGACGGAUUCUUAAUCAUGUGGCCAUAAAAGUACAACAAGAGCCUGUUUUUACUUCACUGCUAUGUAAAUAAUGUUUAUUACCCACCGUUACACUAGAUUGAAACAAUAACUGCAUGAAAAACCUUGGGUCAAAGGUCAUGUUUACGUUGAAAUUAUAGUUUUAAAAUAAAAGUUGUUUGUAAAACUUCUCUAAACCUC